rnacentral:rRNA from 1 species
CGUAGGGUGCAAGCGUUAAUCGGAAUUACUGGGCGUAAAGCGUGCGCAGGCGGUUUGUUAAGAUAGGCGUGAAAUCCCCGGGCUCAACCUGGGAACUGCGCUUAUGACUGGCAAGCUAGAGUACGGCAGAGGGGGUGGAAUUCCACGUGUAGCAGUGAAAUGCGUAGAGAUGUGGAGGAACACCAAUGGCGAAGGCAGCCCCCUGGGUCGAUACUGACGCUCAUGCACGAAAGCGUGGGUAGCAAACAGGAUUAGAUACCCUGGUAGUCCACGCCCUAAACGAUGUCAACUAGGUGUUGGGAGGGUAAAACCUUUUAGUACCGGAGCUAACGCGUGAAGUUGACCGCCUGGGGAGUACGGCCGCAAGGUUA